CGCAGUUGCAUUUUUCGCAGCUGUUCCUGGUUAGGUCCAAUAAAAUGUAUAUAAAUUUUCACUCAAUAAUUCCCAUCAACAACAUCCUUUUCGAUAUAUUACAACUAUUUUAUUCUAAAAGUUGAAACCGGAAGUAAACAUUAAUGUUAGUAAUAUAUUUUAACAUUCAGGUGUCUCCGUCAUUCGUCGUCACAAAUAAACUAAUAAAACAAAAAUUUGGCAUCCCACUGACGCCACACUGUUUAUAUACAUUUGAUUUUUUUGUGAAACUGGCCAUGUACAAUAGCAUUAAAUAUACCUCAUGAAUUGGUAUUUUAAAAACGGAAUUUUCAUUAUUCUCCUCGGCCCAACAGUUAAUUUGUUUUGAUAAUUGACGAUACAAUUCCUUGAACACUAUUAUCGUCGAAUAUUUAAUUUCAAUGCGAUCUUAAUUUUUUACUGCACACUCAAUUCAGCAAGACUUAAUAAAACUCGAUGUGACAAGAUUAAGGAACUAAAUUACAAAUGAACUAAAACUGGACAUUUUUCGAGUAAUUUGAUAUAAUCACCAAACAAAUGACAUUUCGACACUCCAUGUCUGAUGUCUUCAUCAGGGCAAGAGGUGGGACUGAAUGAUGGAACAUGAAUGGGAUAUUCUUGUACCUCGUGGAUGAUAAAUUACUGUCUGUCAUCCCUGUAUACAAACUACACACAAAGCAUCAUGAUUCAUGGCGAUUCUUGUUAGUUGUGUAUAUCCCACGCAUCUAUAGGCCUAAAUUAUUCAAAGAUGCCGCGUACAAAGGUGGAAUACAAAUAUAAGAAUCAUAAUUCAUUCUUUAAAGAGAAUCUCCCACAUGAAUAUCUUCACAAGCAU